AUUGGUCGAGAUCUCUUUAUUUUCAUAAAUUUCAGGUACCUGAUAAGUUCUUAUGGAACUAGAAAAUUAAUUAUGUCAAAUAAUCUUUUCAUAUCCUCACUUGGGUCAUCUUUCUUUUUAGCUCAUUUUCUUAUUUGAGGAUUUUAAUCUUUGGAACCGACUGACCUACCACGCUACAGGGUGGUUAAAAUUCAUUUGCAAUAUAAGAUUGUCCAACAUGGACAUCCAUUUUGAUUGGAGCAUUAGCAGCUGAU
rnacentral:lncRNA from 1 species